rnacentral:rRNA from 1 species
ACUCAAAUGAAUAGACGGGGGCCCGCACAAGCGGAGGAACAUGUGGUUUAAUUCGAUGAUACGCGAGGAACCUUACCUGGGCUUAAAUGUUGAGUGCAUGAGGUGGAAACACUUCUUUCCUUCGGGACUCUCAGCAAGGUGCUGCAUGGUUGUCGUCAGCUCGUGCCGUGAGGUGUCGGGUUAAGUCCCAUAACGAGCGCAACCCUUAUCGUUAGUUGCCAGCGGGUAAUGCCGGGAACUCUAACGAAACUGCCGGUGUAAACCGAGAGGAAGGUGGGGAUGACGUCAAAUCAGCACGGCCCUUAUGUCCAGGGCCACACACGUGUUACAAUGGCCGGUACAGAGGGCAGCUACCUGGAGACAGGAUGCGAAUCUCCAAAGCCGGUCUCAGUUCGGAUCGGAGUCUGCAACUCGACUCCGUGAAGCUGGAUUCGCUAGUAAUCGCGCAUCAGCCAUGGCGCGGUGAAUACGUUCCCGGGCCUUGUACACACCGCCCGU